rnacentral:lncRNA from 1 species
AGGCGCGCUUAAUUCGACCUCUUCCCACAGCUAGCAGCUGGCACACGUGGAACAGCCGCCUUCGACUGUUGCAGUUUGCAUACAUUUUUGCGUUCAACUGCACAGUGGAAGUUCACAAAAAGGCUCAUGGCCCCUGCUUUUAUAAGCCUAUUUAUUAAGGUGAAAUGCCAGUCCACGAGAGGUUAUAGCGGUAAGUGCACUCUUUUCCUAUUUAUUUAUUGUAUUCAUUUCGUGAAGCAUGUAACCGAAUCAGCUGUGUGUCAGCUAUGA